AGUUGUGGCAGUCGGACGGGGAGUAGUACGAGUAGUACGUGCAGUUGUGGUUGUAGGUGUACUAGUAGUGCGAUUGGCUGUAGUAGAUGAGUGAUUUCCGGCGGGAGCCCUAAUUUUAGACGGGGCCACCUUCAAUACGAGAUUUCCCAAAACGGAAAGAUUAGUGGUGGAAGAUUUUUUCAAUGGUCGAGUAAGCGACACUUCGCGAUUUGAUCGAAAACUACCAACUUCACGCAUACGAAA